rnacentral:rRNA from 1 species
GUGCCAGCAGCCGCGGUAAUACAGAGGUGGCAAGCGUUGUUCGGAAUUACUGGGCGUAAAGGGCGCGUAGGCGGUUCGGUAAGUCCUGUGUGAAAUCCCUCGGCUCAACUGAGGAACUGCACGGGAGACUGCCGGGCUUGAGUUCGGGAGAGGGAAGCGGAAUUCCGGGUGUAGCGGUGAAAUGCGUAGAUAUCCGGAGGAACACCGGUGGCGAAGGCGGCUUCCUGGACCGACACUGACGCUGAGGCGCGAAAGCUAGGGGAGCAAACGGGAUUAGAUACCCCCGUAGUCC